rnacentral:lncRNA from 1 species
GUAGAAGUUUGCAAUAGAUUCUAAAGAGCUCAUAACCAUCCACUGUAUUCUCUUCCCUCACUACAUGUUCCACUUGAGAGCAAAAAUAAACCACAUUCACGAAUUCGUCAACAAACAACAUGAGUGAAACCCAUGUUUUUUUCUUUCUAACAUAAACGAAGAUGAUUUAUUCUUCUCCGAACUCAAGCUGUAAAGGUGCGCCCAGUCUCAAGCUUACCCGUGCUAUGAUAGUAUGAUCAGAAACCAAACGCUGAGAUAAAUCUCUCACCAGGCUCGGUUUUGACUCUAUCCAGAGUUGGAGUUAGAAGGUUCCGAGCUCGUAGUAGUAAUCUCACCGG